GAAAGUAGGAAAGGGCGCAUGGCGGAUGCCUUGGCUCUCGGAGGCGAUGAAGGACGUGAUAAGCUGCGAUAAGUCACGGGGAGGUGCAAAUAACCUUUGAUCCGUGAAUCUCCGAAUGGGACAACCCGAUAUCCUGAAGGGAUAUCACCUCAUCUAGUUGAGGAGCUAACGCAGGGAACUGAAACAUCUUAGUACCUGCAGGAAAAGAAAAUAACAAUGAUUCCCCCAGUAGUGGCGAGCGAACGGGGAAGAGCCCAAACCACACAUGUUACGGCAUGUGUGGGGUUGUAGGACCACGGCGUUGCAAGAACUCUUGUGAGAAGAACAGCCUGGAAAGACUGACCAGAGACGGUGACAGUCCGGUAUUCGAAGCAAGACGAAGCAUAGUGGUAUCCUGAGUAGCGCGGAACACGAGGAAUUCUGCGUGAAUCUGCCGGGACCAUCCGGUAAGGCUAAAUACUCCCGAGAGACCGAUAGUGGACCAGUACCGUGAGGGAAAGGUGAAAAGCACUUCGAACAGAAGAGUGAAAGAGUACCUGAAACCGUGCGCCUACAAGCGGUCGGAGCACGAAAGUGUGACGGCGUGCCUUUUGCAUAAUGAACCUACGAGUUACCGUAUCUGGCAAGGUUAAGGGUCACGAGACCUGCAGCCGAAGCGAAAGCGAGUCUGAAGAGGGCGUCGAGUCAGUUGCGGUAGACGCGAAACCAAGUGAUCUACCCUUGGCCAGGAUGAAGUCUGGGUAACACCAGAUGGAGGUCCGCACCAAUAAGCGUUGAAAAGCUUCUGGAUGAGCUGAGGGUAGGGGUGAAAGGCUAAUCAAACUUGGAGAUAGCUCGUACUCCCCGAAAUGCAUUUAGGUGCAGCCUCGCGGGUUACUGAUGUGAGGUAGAGCGACUGAUUGGAUGCGAGGGCUUCACCGCCUAUCAAGUCCUGACAAACUCCGAAUGCGCAUCAGUUUUACCGCGGGAGUGAGGGCAUGGGUGCUAAGGUCCGUGCCCGAGAGGAGAAGAAUCCGGACUAUCAGCUAAGGCCCCGAAAUGACAGCUAAGUUAAACUAACGAAGUCUGAUUGCUAAGACAGCUAGGAUGUUGGCUUGGAAGCAGCCAUUCAUUUAAAGAGUGCGUAACAGCUCACUAGUCGAGGAAUCGGGCGUGGAUAAUAAUCGGGUAUUAAGUUGUCUGCCGAAGCUAUAGAAUCAGCAAUGAUUGGUAGGGGAGCAUUCCAUUCUGCGUUGAAGGCGUGGCGUGAGCCAUUCUGGAGCGUAUGGAAAAGCAAAUGUAGGUAUAAGUAACGAUAAAGGGGGUGAGAAACCCCCUCGCCGAAAGACUAAGGUUUCCUGAUCAACGCUAAUCGGAUCAGGGUAAGUCGGGUCCUAAGGUUCAGCCGAACGGCGAGACCGAUGGCAGAAACGGUUAAUAUUCCGUUACUACCUUUGAGGGUGACGUGGGGACGCAGGAGUGACACCGCCGCCGGCUGACGGAAUAGCCGGUUAAAGAGUGUAGACGUUGAUUUCCGCAGGCAAAUCCACGGAAAGAGUCGAACUUGACAGUAUGGAACGUCCUUCGGGACAAUCCAAUAGUGCGGGUAAGCAGACUGCCUAGAAAAUCCGCUAAACAUAACUUCAGAGGUACCCGUACCGCAAACGGACACACGUAGUCGGGUUGAAUAUACUAAGGCGCUUGAGUGAAUCACGGUUAAGGAACUAGGCAAACUGACCCUGUAACUUCGGGAUAAAGGGUCCCUACCCAGAAAUGGGAGGGCGCAGAGAAUAGGUCCAGGCAACUGUUUAACAAAAACACAGGGCUGUGCCAAUAUGAAAGUAGACGUAUACAGCCUGACACCUGCCCGGUGCUGGAAGGUUAAGAGGAGAUGUCAUCGCAAGAGAAGCAUUGAAUUGAAGCCCCAGUAAACGGCGGCCGUAACUAUAACGGUCCUAAGGUAGCGAAAUUCCUUGUCGGGUAAGUUC
rnacentral:rRNA from 1 species